rfam:Procavia capensis cont1.1648, whole genome shotgun sequence.
AGGCCGCGGCCCCUGGGACCAGCGCGCACGCCGGGGCAGAGCUCUAGGCGUCACCCCGAGGCCGCCGACAACUGAAUAAACAAGAUGUAGCGCUGCGAUCUGUCAAGGGCUGGGCCGCAU